UUCGUAGGCGGUGUGGCAAGUCGGGAGUGAAAUCUCUGGGCUUAACCCAGAGGCUGCUUCCGAAACUGCCGUGCUAGAGUGCGGGAGAGGCGAGUGGAAUUGCAGGUGUAGCGGUGAAAUGCGUAGAUAUCUGCAGGAACACCCGUGGCGAAGGCGGCUCGCUGGACCGCAACUGACGCUGAGGAACGAAAGCUAGGGGAGCAAACAGGAUUAGAUACCCUGGUAGUCCUAGCCCUAAACCAUCAGGACUUGGGGUGCAUCCCGUUCGGGGUGCGUCCCGGAGCUAACGCGUUAAGUCCUGCGCCUGGGGAGUACGGUCGCAAGGCUGAA
rnacentral:rRNA from 1 species